rnacentral:tRNA from 1 species
GGAGAGGUGGCCGAGCGGUUCAAGGCGCACGCUUGGAAAGCGUGUGUACGCCAAAAGUGUACCGGGGGUUCGAAUCCCUUCCUCUCCGCAA